AGAUCAGCAUCGUAAAGAAGAUAUUUCAAAAGAAGAAUGCCGUGUUCCCUCUUUCCGUUCUAUCUAUUGUCAACAUCAUUAUUGGUGGACUCAACCUCCAUGACUGUCCGCUGCAGCCCCUGAUCCCUGUGUAUCUGGUCGUAUUCGGUGUCUGUAAAUUGCUCACUGGCCUGCUAAAAUAUGCCUUUCCUGAGCUUAAGCUGUUGAAACCCGUCCUGGCCGUCCUGUCUAUUUUCCUGUUGUGUUGGUUUAUAUGUGGCAAUGUAUGGAUCUACUCUAUCUAUCCUCCCAACUACAACAGCACAGACUACAGCAAUGCUGCCAAAGACCAGACAGUCAAGGGAGAACCAUACUGCUACCAGUCCCUGUAUACCUAUGCAUUUUUUAACACUACAAUGAUUAAUAUAGUCAUUUCCCUCUAUCUUUGUUUCCUCUGUGUAGGUAUGUGUAUAGCUAUGAAUUACACGUCUUGCUUUCUGUAAUAGUGUGUAAGUUCCUGUCUGAAGAGUGAGACAUGUGGAUAUUUAUGCUUCACAGCCUCACCCAGAUCAACAUCAUUUUGAGGAAAGAAUGAAAUGGGAUAUACUAUACAUAGCCUACUUACAGUCAUCUAUUUGUUUAGAUCUAUAGGCAACUUUACU